UCUCAGGUUGUGACCUUCUCGAGGAAAGAAGCACUUUCUGUUGUCUGAAAGAAAAGAAAGUGCUUCCUUUCAGAGGGUUACGGUUUGAGA
rnacentral:pre_miRNA from 10 species